GAAUCUGGCUUCAGGUUCGGGACAACCACUGGAAACGGUGGCUAAUACCGAAUGUGCCGCAAGGUGAAAGAUUAAUUGCCUGAAGAUGAGCUCGCGUCUGAUUAGCUAGUAGGUGUGGUAAGAGCGCACCUAGGCGACGAUCAGUAGCUGGUCUGAGAGGAUGAUCAGCCACACUGGGACUGAGACACGGCCCAGACUCCUACGGGAGGCAGCAGUGGGGAAUUUUCCGCAAUGGGCGAAAGCCUGACGGAGCAAUACCGCGUGAGGGAGGAAGGCUCUUGGGUCGUAAACCUCUUUUCUCAGGGAAGAAAACAAUGACGGUACCUGAGGAAUCAGCAUCGGCUAACUCCGUGCCAGCAGCCGCGGUAAUACGGAGGAUGCAAGCGUUAUCCGGAAUGAUUGGGCGUAAAGCGUCCGCAGGUGGCUGUGUAAGUCUGCUGUUAAAGAGUGAGGCUCAACCUCAUAAGAGCAGUGGAAACUACACGGCUAGAGUGCGUUCGGGGCAGAGGGAAUUCCUGGUGUAGCGGUGAAAUGCGUAGAGAUCAGGAAGAACACCGGUGGCGAAAGCGCUCUGCUAGGCCGCAACU
rnacentral:rRNA from 3 species